AAUAAAACAAAAACAAAAACGAAAAUUCAUCCGAAAUCCAAAUUGAAGUGAACUUUUUUAAACGUGGGUUCGCCUCGAAAUAAAAUGUUACCGCCGGUGAGGGAGAAAAAAGAAGGAUAGAAGAAGUAAAGGAGAAGUCACAUAAACAUUUUAUUUAAACAAGAACAAAGUUUGAAAAUGGAUAAAAGGAAAUAUGGUAGGUAAUGCUUGAUCCAAGGUGGAAGAAGGAGUAAAGAAGGGAAAAAAGUAAAAGAAGAAAGAAAGAAACAUAGGAAUGUGACUGGCAGCGGGAUUGAGAUCAAGGGUUUUUGCCUCCACAGGUUUUAAUAGUCAUGUUUAUCAAUGUUCUCACUACAUCGCCAUAUCCAUUAUGGGGAAUAAAGGGCAUUACGUGCUUUAAGGCAUUUUUAAUGCAGAUAUCAGCUAGGUAAGGACUCAACCCGUCAAGGCGGGAGCAGCAAGAAGAAGAGUUCAGCCCAUAAAACAGUCUGGCACACUCAAUAUACAACGUAUAUGUACUUAUAGGACAUUGAUCAUCAACAUCUUGAGACCUCACCAUUGAGACUGAUACCAGACUCAGAUAGAGGAACACUGCCAAAACAUAUUUCAUCCAAN
rnacentral:lncRNA from 1 species